CGCUAAAGCACUUUAAAGAUCUGCACAACAACACUGGAAAGAAUCCGAGAAGACACGAAGAAACACCGUACAAAAAAAAAAAAAAGACACCGAAGGAAACAAGCGUCCAUGUUUGUUUACGUCCGGUUUUUGGGGGAUCCGGAGGGGAGAGAGAAGGGGGUCACUGGUUGAGCUCCAGAGCCCAGACCUGUUGCGGCCAGCCGGUUCGGCCCUUCGCCUUCUUCUCCACGCCGAGAGACUCCGGAGGACCGUCAGGCUGCGGAAGAGUCAGAGUCAGUCCUCCUGUGGGAAAAGAGAGAUGAGAGGCUGGAGGUCAAUCUGGGCUAAGCCCCGCUGGUGCCAGUGGACUCCACCGUUCAGACCUUGAGAUGAUGCCGGGCCAAACAGGACUCCAGGUAAGUGGUCCAAUCAUGGCCUCCGGUCACAUGGAGGCCAAAGGCGGCGUGACUCCCAUCCAACUAUCAUCAGUUUUUAGGAAUCCAAAGCAUCCUAUUUCAGUGUCUACACGUGUGAUUCAAAAUGGUGAGAAUUGCUGUUUCCUACUGUGUGAAUGAGAAAAUGUAGUUGAUAGGAAUCAAGCUCUUGUCCUUUACUUAAGAUUUUCAAGUUCCCUGGACCGUAAGGAAAAUGAUGUUUUUACUGCCGGACUGUGGACAGUCAGGACAUCUACAGGCAUCUUUAAUGUUGGGUCUAAAUUUGCAUCCAAGAGGCGAACAGAACAGUGGUAGUGUGGGUCGCAUGUCUGCGUUUGGCAACUACAACCCGGGUCGCUCCCACACACCAUGAGUGACGGUGACGGGGUCUCAAUAUUUGCUUGUAAGUCUUCUUUUAAUGUGAAAGAUGAAACGGAUUUAGAAAGGUCCAAGUGAUCAAUCGGCGAAGACCACUUAGCCCGUUCUUCUCAUCAAGCAUGGAGUCCACCUAAACCGGGAUCAGACUUCACAAAACC